UACGUAGGAUCCAAGCGUUGUCCGGAUUUACUGGGUGUAAAGGGUGCGCAGGCGGACUUGUAAGUCAGGGGUGAAACCUCACAGCUUAACUGUGAAACUGCCUUUGAUACUGCAAGUCUUGGAUCCAGAAGAGAGUUGUGGAAUUCCGAGUGUAGCAGUGAAAUGUGUAGAUAUUCGGAAGAACACCAGUGGCGAAGGCAGCAACUUGGUCUGGUAUCGACGCUCAGGCACGAAAGCAUGGGGAUCAAACAGG
rnacentral:rRNA from 1 species